rnacentral:rRNA from 1 species
GACGAACGCUGGCGGCGUGCCUAAUACAUGCCAGUCGAACGCUGAAGGAGGAGCUUGCUUCUCUGGAUGAGUUGCGAACGGGUGAGUAACGCGUAGGUAACCUGCCUGGUAGCGGGGGAUAACUAUUGGAAACGAUAGCUAAUACCGCAUAAGAGUAGAUGUUGCAUGACAUUUGCUUAAAAGGUGCAAUUGCAUCACUACCAGAUGGACCUGCGUUGUAUUAGCUAGUUGGUGGGGUAACGGCUUACCAAGGCGACGAUACAUAGCCGACCUGAGAGGGUGAUCGACCAAACUGGGAAUGAGACACGGCCCAGACUCCUACGGGAGGGAGCAGUAGGGAAUCUUCGGCAAUGGACGGAAGUCUGACCGAGCAACGCCGCGUGAGGGAAGAAGGGUGUCGGAUCGUAAAGCUCUGUUGUAAGAGAAGAACGAGUGUGAGAGUGGAAAGUUCACACUGUGACGGUAGCUUACCAGAAAGGGACGGCUAACUACGUG